AAAUUGAAGAGUUUGAUCAUGGCUCAGAUUGAACGCUGGCGGCAGGCCUAACACAUGCAAGUCGAACGGUAGCACAGAGAGCUUGCUCUCGGGUGACGAGUGGCGGACGGGUGAGUAAUGUCUGGGAAACUGCCCGAUGGAGGGGGAUAACUACUGGAAACGGUAGCUAAUACCGCAUAACGUCGCAAGACCAAAGUGGGGGACCUUCGGGCCUCACACCAUCGGAUGUGCCCAGAUGGGAUUAGCUAGUAGGUGGGGUAACGGCUCACCUAGGCGACGAUCCCUAGCUGGUCUGAGAGGAUGACCAGCCACACUGGAACUGAGACACGGUCCAGACUCCUACGGGAGGCAGCAGUGGGGAAUAUUGCACAAUGGGCGCAAGCCUGAUGCAGCCAUGCCGCGUGUAUGAAGAAGGCCUUCGGGUUGUAAAGUACUUUCAGCGAGGAGGAAGGCGUUGUGGUUAAUAACCACAGCGAUUGACGUUACUCGCAGAAGAAGCACCGGCUAACUCCGUGCCAGCAGCCGCGGUAAUACGGAGGGUGCAAGCGUUAAUCGGAAUUACUGGGCGUA
rnacentral:rRNA from 1 species